GUUUGGUCCUAAAAAUUGAGAAAUUUAAACAUGGUGAAAAAACCCGUCUUAAAAUAGAUUUUUAAAAUAAUGAAAAAAAUAGUAUACACAAUGGCAGUUUACACUUACUAGAGGGUCUAAAGAGCCUGUGUCACUCACCUUGGUCUAUGUGCAUAAUAAGGGUAUAUGAUACAGUUACAGAGGAGGUUAUGACGUUGCUAACGUAAAAUGUUAUUUUCGCAACGUCAAAACUGUGACAUAUUGGUAAAAGAUGCAUUUUUCAACUGAUUUUUAUCAUUCAAACUGAUUUAAUUUGAAAAAGAGUGCACGGACCCCUAUUUUUUAAAACAUUUUGUUUCAUUUUGCAGGGAGAGUAUGUGGACCAAAUUUUAUAAAACUGUAAAAAGUGGAUUUUUUUUAAUUUUGAUAAAUAUACAGCAAAAAAUUAUACGUUUUUUU
rnacentral:lncRNA from 1 species